AGAACGAACGCUGGCGGCAGGCCUCAAACAUGCAAGUCUAGGGGGUGUAGCAAUACAUCACCGGCGGACGGGUGCGUAACGCGUGGGAAUAUACCUUUUGGUUCGGAACAACUCAGGGAAACUUGAGCUAAUACCGGAUGUGCCCUUCGGGGGAAAGAUUUAUCGCCAUUGGAGCGGCCCGCGUCUGAUUAGCUAGUUGGUGGGGUAAAGGCCUACCAAGGCUACGAUCAGUAGCUGGUCUGAGAGGAUGAUCAGCCACACUGGGACUGAGACACGGCCCAGACUCCUACGGGAGGCAGCAGUAGGGAAUCUGCGCAAUGGGCGAAAGCCUGACGCAGCCAUGCCGCGUGAAUGAUGAAGGUCUUAGGAUUGUAAAAUUCUUUCAGCGGGGACAUAAUGACGGUACCCGCAGAAGAACGCCCGGCUAACUUCGCGCCAGCAGCCGC
rnacentral:rRNA from 1 species